GUUGCCUACGGGGCGCAGCAGUGAGGAAUAUUGGUCAAUGGGCGAGAGCCUGAACCAGCCAAGUCGCGUGAAGGAUGACGGCCCUACGGGUUGUAAACUUCUUUUGUCAGGGAGCAAUUGAGUCCACGUGUGGUCUUAGCGAGAGUACCUGAAGAAAAAGCAUCGGCUAACUCCGUGCCAGCAGCCGCGGUAAUACGGAGGGCGCGAGCGUUAAUCGGAAUUACUGGGCGUAAAGCGCGCGUAGGCUGUUGUGUAAGUUGGGGGUGAAAUCCCACGGCUCAACCGUGGAACAGCCCUUGAUACUG
rnacentral:rRNA from 1 species